rnacentral:lncRNA from 1 species
GUUCGGGGCUGCUCACCGCCGCCUUCAGCCCUCCACAGAGCAGUGUAGCGCGACACCGGCAAGCUGUAGGGGAAAGGGGACGAAGGUUACACACCCAGCAGCAGGCCGUCCAUGUCAAAGAUGAGAUAACUCGGUUUUGGUCAUCAGGGUCGCUGGUUACGGGUCAAAACCCCAUCGGCAGAAGCAGACACGAUGGUAGCAAUCUCAUGCUCCCAAGGUGCCACACUGACCUGAAGAUCAAUACUGCUUCUAGAUUCUCUGCCAAAGCAAUGUUGGAGGGAAAUGGUCUCUCAUCCUGUAGUGCCGUCCUUCUCUUUUCCCCUCCACCCUUCUGCUUCAGCUCACGUGACUGGACUUUGCACUCGUUUACUGAUAAUACAAGCUCAGCCAUCUUGUUUGAAAACUAGAGGCAGAAACAGAAACAAUUCCGUGCUGCAAGGGUACUCUCCACGUGGAUUUGGUGUUUUUGGGUGUUCAGUCCCUGUCAGACCAGCAGCUGAGGCUGUUCUAAUACCAGGAGAACCACAGUAGCCAGUGGGAGAAGCACUGCAUACCGCUGCCUGGUGGAAACCGUACUUGGUGGGGAAAGAAGUCAAGGAAGGAGGAAGAGCAGCAGCAGGAGUAGUGAUGGAGCGGUAGUGGAAACAGCAGCACCUGGGCAAGCAGAAUUGGAUGAAUCAAGCAGCCACAUCCA